GGUUAAGCGACUAAGCGUACACGGUGGAUGCCCUGGCAGUCAGAGGCGAUGAAGGACGUGCUAAUCUGCGAUAAGCGUCGGUAAGGUGAUAUGAACCGUUAUAACCGGCGAUUUCCGAAUGGGGAAACCCAGUGUGAUUCGUCACACUAUCAUUAACUGAAUCCAUAGGUUAAUGAGGCGAACCGGGGGAACUGAAACAUCUAAGUACCCCGAGGAAAAGAAAUCAACCGAGAUUCCCCCAGUAGCGGCGAGCGAACGGGGAGCAGCCCAGAGCCUGAAUCAGUGUGUGUGUUAGUGGAAGCGUCUGGAAAGGCGCGCGAUACAGGGUGACAGCCCCGUACACAAAAAUGCACAUGCUGUGAGCUCGAUGAGUAGGGCGGGACACGUGGUAUCCUGUCUGAAUAUGGGGGGACCAUCCUCCAAGGCUAAAUACUCCUGACUGACCGAUAGUGAACCAGUACCGUGAGGGAAAGGCGAAAAGAACCCCGGCGAGGGGAGUGAAAAAGAACCUGAAACCGUGUACGUACAAGCAGUGGGAGCACGCUUAGGCGUGUGACUGCGUACCUUUUGUAUAAUGGGUCAGCGACUUAUAUUCUGUAGCAAGGUUAACCGAAUAGGGGAGCCGAAGGGAAACCGAGUCUUAACUGGGCGUUAAGUUGCAGGGUAUAGACCCGAAACCCGGUGAUCUAGCCAUGGGCAGGUUGAAGGUUGGGUAACACUAACUGGAGGACCGAACCGACUAAUGUUGAAAAAUUAGCGGAUGACUUGUGGCUGGGGGUGAAAGGCCAAUCAAACCGGGAGAUAGCUGGUUCUCCCCGAAAGCUAUUUAGGUAGCGCCUCGUGAAUUCAUCUCCGGGGGUAGAGCACUGUUUCGGCAAGGGGGUCAUCCCGACUUACCAACCCGAUGCAAACUGCGAAUACCGGAGAAUGUUAUCACGGGAGACACACGGCGGGUGCUAACGUCCGUCGUGAAGAGGGAAACAACCCAGACCGCCAGCUAAGGUCCCAAAGUCAUGGUUAAGUGGGAAACGAUGUGGGAAGGCCCAGACAGCCAGGAUGUUGGCUUAGAAGCAGCCAUCAUUUAAAGAAAGCGUAAUAGCUCACUGGUCGAGUCGGCCUGCGCGGAAGAUGUAACGGGGCUAAACCAUGCACCGAAGCUGCGGCAGCGACGCUUAUGCGUUGUUGGGUAGGGGAGCGUUCUGUAAGCCUGCGAAGGUGUGCUGUGAGGCAUGCUGGAGGUAUCAGAAGUGCGAAUGCUGACAUAAGUAACGAUAAAGCGGGUGAAAAGCCCGCUCGCCGGAAGACCAAGGGUUCCUGUCCAACGUUAAUCGGGGCAGGGUGAGUCGACCCCUAAGGCGAGGCCGAAAGGCGUAGUCGAUGGGAAACAGGUUAAUAUUCCUGUACUUGGUGUUACUGCGAAGGGGGGACGGAGAAGGCUAUGUUGGCCGGGCGACGGUUGUCCCGGUUUAAGCGUGUAGGCUGGUUUUCCAGGCAAAUCCGGAAAAUCAAGGCUGAGGCGUGAUGACGAGGCACUACGGUGCUGAAGCAACAAAUGCCCUGCUUCCAGGAAAAGCCUCUAAGCAUCAGGUAACAUCAAAUCGUACCCCAAACCGACACAGGUGGUCAGGUAGAGAAUACCAAGGCGCUUGAGAGAACUCGGGUGAAGGAACUAGGCAAAAUGGUGCCGUAACUUCGGGAGAAGGCACGCUGAUAUGUAGGUGAAGUCCCUCGCGGAUGGAGCUGAAAUCAGUCGAAGAUACCAGCUGGCUGCAACUGUUUAUUAAAAACACAGCACUGUGCAAACACGAAAGUGGACGUAUACGGUGUGACGCCUGCCCGGUGCCGGAAGGUUAAUUGAUGGGGUCAGCGCAAGCGAAGCUCUUGAUCGAAGCCCCGGUAAACGGCGGCCGUAACUAUAACGGUCCUAAGGUAGCGAAAUUCCUUGUCGGGUAAGUUCCGACCUGCACGAAUGGCGUAAUGAUGGCCAGGCUGUCUCCACCCGAGACUCAGUGAAAUUGAACUCGCUGUGAAGAUGCAGUGUACCCGCGGCAAGACGGAAAGACCCCGUGAACCUUUACUAUAGCUUGACACUGAACAUUGAGCCUUGAUGUGUAGGAUAGGUGGGAGGCUUUGAAGUGUGGACGCCAGUCUGCAUGGAGCCGACCUUGAAAUACCACCCUUUAAUGUUUGAUGUUCUAACGUGGACCCGUAAUCCGGGUUGCGGACAGUGUCUGGUGGGUAGUUUGACUGGGGCGGUCUCCUCCUAAAGAGUAACGGAGGAGCACGAAGGUUGGCUAAUCCUGGUCGGACAUCAGGAGGUUAGUGCAAUGGCAUAAGCCAGCUUGACUGCGAGCGUGACGGCGCGAGCAGGUGCGAAAGCAGGUCAUAGUGAUCCGGUGGUUCUGAAUGGAAGGGCCAUCGCUCAACGGAUAAAAGGUACUCCGGGGAUAACAGGCUGAUACCGCCCAAGAGUUCAUAUCGACGGCGGUGUUUGGCACCUCGAUGUCGGCUCAUCACAUCCUGGGGCUGAAGUAGGUCCCAAGGGUAUGGCUGUUCGCCAUUUAAAGUGGUACGCGAGCUGGGUUUAGAACGUCGUGAGACAGUUCGGUCCCUAUCUGCCGUGGGCGCUGGAGAACUGAGGGGGGCUGCUCCUAGUACGAGAGGACCGGAGUGGACGCAUCACUGGUGUUCGGGUUGUCAUGCCAAUGGCACUGCCCGGUAGCUAAAUGCGGAAGAGAUAAGUGCUGAAAGCAUCUAAGCACGAAACUUGCCCCGAGAUGAGUUCUCCCUGACUCCUUGAGAGUCCUGAAGGAACGUUGAAGACGACGACGUUGAUAGGCCGGGUGUGUAAGCGCAGCGAUGCGUUGAGCUAACCGGUACUAAUGAACCGUGAGGCUUAACCUU
rnacentral:rRNA from 1 species